UGGGGAAUAUUGCACAAUGGGCGAAAGCCUGAUGCAGCGACGCCGCGUGAGGGAUGACGGCCUUCGGGUUGUAAACCUCUUUCAGUAGGGACGAAGCGCAAGUGACGGUACCUGCAGAAGAAGCACCGGCUAACUACGUGCCAGCAGCCGCGGUAAUACGUAGGGUGCGAGCGUUGUCCGGAAUUACUGGGCGUAAAGAGCUUGUAGGCGGUUUGUCACGUCGUCUGUGAAAUCCUAGGGCUUAACCCUGGACGUGCAGGCGAUACGGGCUGACUUGAGUACUACAGGGGAGAGUGUAAUUUCUGGGGUAGAGGUGGAAUGCACAGAGAUCAGGAAGAACACCGCUGGCGAAGGCAGGUCUCUCGGUAGUAACUGACGCUGAGGAGCGAAAGCAUGGGUAGCGAACAGG
rnacentral:rRNA from 1 species